rnacentral:rRNA from 1 species
AUUGAACGCUGGCGGCAUGCCUUACACAUGCAAGUCGAACGGCAGCGCGGGAGCAAUCCUGGCGGCGAGUGGCGAACGGGUGAGUAAUAUAUCGGAACGUGCCCAUUAGUGGGGGAUAGCCCGGCGAAAGCCGGAUUAAUACCGCAUACGACCUGAGGGUGAAAGCGGGGGAUCGCAAGACCUCGCGCUAUUGGAGCGGCCGAGAUCAGAUUAGCUAGUUGGUGGGGUAAAGGCCUACCAAGGCAACGAUCUGUAGUUGGUCUGAGAGGACGACCAGCCACACUGGGACUGAGACACGGCCCAGACUCCUACGGGAGGCAGCAGUGGGGAAUUUUGGACGAUGGGCGCAAGCCUGAUCCAGCAAUGCCGCGUGCAGGAAGAAGGCCUUCGGGUUGUAAACUGCUUUUGUCAGGGAAGAAAUCCUUUGGGCUAAUACCUCGGAGGGAUGACGGUACCUGAAGAAUAAGUACCGGCUAACCUCGUGCCAGCCGCCGCCGUAA